rnacentral:sRNA from 1 species
GUGGAUCUGGAGAAAAUAGAGGUUCUGACUCCUCAGGAGCAAAAAACAUAACCUGAAGAGGGAGGAAGUGGAUUUGGGGUUCACCAUUUCUAGGGGCACACUUGAUUGAAGACUGAGACUUCUGAAGAGAAGGCCAGAAGAUACAAAGACAGACCAUCCCAGUUGAAUGCUGUCUUCCAAGAACAGAAGAAAAUGAUCCAGGCCCAGGAAUCCAUAACACUGGAGGAUGUGGCUGUGGACUUCACUUGGGAGGAGUGGCAACUCCUGGGUGCUGCUCAGAAGGACCUGUACCGGGACGUGAUGUUGGAGAACUACAGCAACCUGGUGGCAGUGGGGUAUCAAGCCAGCAAACCGGAUGCACUCUUCAAGUUGGAACAAGGAGAACAACCGUGGACAACUGAAGAUGGAAUCCACAGUGGAGCCUGUUCAGGUGAGAGAACCCACAAGGCAGAAGGCUAUGGAAGUCACAUUCUAGUCAGUCAGAGAAUGCAACACAGCUGUGAAGGGGGUUUGAGGAUAUGUAAACAGU